CAGUCGGGUAAUCGCGUAUAAGAAAUUAUAUGAGGAAAGUCCGUGCAUUCAAGGACAGGCUUCCGGAGAAACUCCGGACGGUGCGAACCGGUGGAUAGGGCCACAGAAAAUAUACUGCCGAUGGAUUUAUAAUCACAGGCGAUGGUGCAACGGUGAGUUAAGAGCUUCACCAACAAUAAUGAGAAUUAUUGGUUAGGUAACCCCAAGCCGAAUGCAAGAUAAAAUUGAAGGUUAUAAAGGCUGUCCGCCAACUUCAGACAUAUCGCUAGAGAAUUUGAGUAAUCAAAUUACCAGACAGAUGAUUACCUAAAAACAGAACACGGCUUAUGAGCUGCUUU
rnacentral:RNase_P_RNA from 1 species